rnacentral:rRNA from 1 species
GGUGCAAGCGUUGUCACGGAAUUAUUGGGGCGUAAAGAGCUCGUAGGUGGUUUGUUACGUCGGUUGUGAAAUUCAGGGGCUCAACCCCUGACUUGCAGCCGAUACGGGCAAGCUAGAGUUUGGUAGGGGAGACUGGAAUUCCUGGUGUAGCGGUGGAAUGCGCAGAUAUCAGGAGGAACACCGAUGGCGAAGGCAGGUCUCUGGGCCAAUACUGACACUGAGGAGCGAAAGCGUGGGGAGCGAACAGGAUUAGAUACCCUGGUAGUCCACGCCGUAAACGGUGGGCGCUAGAUGUGGGGACUAUUCCAUGGUCUCUGUGUCGCAGCUAACGCAUUAAGCGCCCCGCCUGGGGAGUACGGCCGCAAGGCUAAAACUCAAAGGAAUUGACGGGGGCCCGCACAAGCGGCGGAGCAUGCGGCUUAAUUCGAUGCAACGCGAAGAACCUUACCUAGACUUGACAUAUACGGAAAACAUGCAGAGAUGUAUGGUCCGAAAGGGCCGUAUACAGGUGGUGCAUGGUUGUCGUCAGCUCGUGUCGUGAGAUGUUGGGUUAAGUCCCGCAACGAGCGCAACCCU